AAAAUGGGAUGGGAAUCGAACCCACAGUGUUUUGCUUACCAGGCAGAUGCCAUGUCCACUAGUCUACCCUGGACAUAUUU
rnacentral:tRNA from 1 species